rnacentral:rRNA from 1 species
AUUGAACGCUGGCGGCAGGCCUAACACAUGCAAGUCGAGCGGAUGAAGGGAGCUUGCUCCUGGAUUCAGCGGCGGACGGGUGAGUAAUGCCUAGGAAUCUGCCUGGUAGUGGGGGAUAACGUCCGGAAACGGGCGCUAAUACCGCAUACGUCCUGAGGGAGAAAGUGGGGGAUCUUCGGACCUCACGCUAUCAGAUGAGCCUAGGUCGGAUUAGCUAGUUGGUGGGGUAAAGGCCUACCAAGGCGACGAUCCGUAACUGGUCUGAGAGGAUGAUCAGUCACACUGGAACUGAGACACAGUCCAGACUCCUACGGGAGGCAGCAGUGGGGAAUAUUGGACAAUGGGCGAAAGCCUGAUCCAGCCAUGCCGCGUGCGUGAAGAAGGUCUUCGGAUUGUAAAGCACUUUAAGUUGGGAGGAAGGGCAGUAAGUUAAUACCUUGCUGUUUUGACGUUACCAACAGAAUAAGCACCGGCUAACUUCGUG